AUGCUAGUCGAGCGGACCUUUCAGGGUCAGCGGCGGACGGGUGAGUAACGCGUGGGAAUAUGCCCUUUGCUACGGAAUAGUCCUGGGAAACUGGGGGUAAUACCGUAUACGCCCUUUGGGGGAAAGAUUUAUCGGCGAAGGAUUAGCCCGCGUUGGAUUAGGUAGUUGGUGGGGUAAUGGCCUACCAAGCCGACGAUCCAUAGCUGGUUUGAGAGGAUGAUCAGCCACACUGGGACUGAGACACGGCCCAGACUCCUACGGGAGGCAGCAGUGGGGAAUCUUAGACAAUGGGGGCAACCCUGAUCUAGCCAUGCCGCGUGAGUGAUGAAGGCCUUAGGGUUGUAAAGCUCUUUCAGCUGGGAAGAUAAUGACGGUACCAGCAGAAGAAGCCCCGGCUAACUCCGUGCCAGCAGCCGCGGUAAUACGGAGGGGGCUAGCGUUGUUCGGAAUUACUGGGCGUAAAGCGCACGUAGGCGGACCGGAAAGUUGGGGGUGAAAUCCCGGGGCUCAACCUCGGAACUGCCUUCAAAACUAUCGGUCUGGAGUUCGAGAGAGGUGAG
rnacentral:rRNA from 1 species